GUGAGGAAUAUUGGACAAUGGGCGCAAGCCUGAUCCAGCCAUGCCGCGUGCAGGAAGACGCAUCUAUGGUGUGUAAACUGCUUUUGUACGGGAAGAAACACUCCCUCGUGAGGGAGCUUGACGGUACCGUAAGAAUAAGGAUCGGCUAACUCCGUGCCAGCAGCCGCGGUAAUACGGAGGAUCCAAGCGUUAUCCGGAAUCAUUGGGUUUAAAGGGUCCGUAGGCGGUUUAAUAAGUCAGUGUGAAAGCCCAUCGCUCAACGAUGGAACGGCCAUUGAUACUGUUAGACUUGAAUUACAAGGAAGUAACUAGAAUAUGUAGUGUAGCGGUGAAAUGCUUAGAUAUUACAUGGAAUACCAAUUGCGAAGGCAGCUCACUAAGGCGAUACUGACGCUGAGGCACGAAAGCGUGGGGAUCGAACAGGAUUAGAAACCCGGGUAGUCC
rnacentral:rRNA from 1 species